AUACUUGCUUUAGCAGUAUAAUACUAAAAUUGGAAUGAUAGGGAGAUUAGCAUGGUCCCUGUGCAAGCAUGACAUGCAAAUUUGUGAAGUGUUCCAUAUUAAA
ensembl:snRNA U6 U6 spliceosomal RNA